GCGGGCAAUAGCGCAGCUACACAUGCAGUCGAGCGCACCCUUCGGGGUGAGCGGCGGACGGGUUAGUAACGCGUGGGCCUAUUCCCAGAUCUGCGGAAUAGCCUCUGGAAACGGAGGGUGAUACCGCAUACGCCCUUCGGGGGAAAGAUUUAUCGGAUUUGGAUUAGCCCGCGUUGGAUUAGGUAGUUGGUGGGGUAAUGGCCCACCAAGCCGACGAUCCAUAGCUGGUUUGAGAGGAUGAUCAGCAACACUGGGACUGAGACACGGCCCAGACUCCUACGGGAGGCAGCAGUGGGGAAUCUUAGACAAUGGGGGAAACCCUGAUCUAGCCAUGCCGCGUGAGUGACGAAGGCCCUAGGGUCGUAAAGCUCUUUCAGCUGUGAAGAUAAUGACGGUAGCAGCAGAAGAAACCCCGGCUAACUCCGUGCCAGCAGCCGCGGUAAUACGGAGGGGGUUAGCGUUGUUCGGAAUUACUGGGCGUAAAGCGCGCGUAGGCGGACUAUUAAGUCGAGGGUGAAAUCCCGGGGCUCAACCCCGGAACUGCCUUCGAUACUGGUAGUCUUGAGUUCGAGAGAGGUGAGUGGAAUUCCGAGUGUAGAGGUGAAAUUCGUAGAUAUUCGGAGGAACACCAGUGGCGAAGGCGGCUCACUGGCUCGAUACUGACGCUGAGGUGCGAAAGUGUGGGGAGCAAACAGGAUUAGAUACCCUGGUAGUCCACACCGUAAACGAUGAAUGCCCGACGUCGGGUAGCAUGCUAUUCGGUGUCACACCUAACGGAUUAAGCAUUCCGCCUGGGGAGUACGGUCGCCAGAUUAAAAACUCAAAUGAAUUGACG
rnacentral:rRNA from 1 species